rnacentral:rRNA from 1 species
GUGAGGAAUUUUCCGCAAUGGGCGAAAGCCUGACGGAGCAAUGCCGCGUGAAGGAUGAAGGCCUAUGGGUUGUAAACUUCUUUUCUCAGAAAAGAAUUAUGACGGUAUCUGAGGAAUAAGCAUCGGCUAACUCUGUGCCAGCAGCCGCGGUAAGACAGAGGAUGCAAGCGUUAUCCGGAAUGAUUGGGCGUAAAGCGUCUGUAGGUUGUUUAAAAAGUAUUCUGUCAAAGAUUAGGGCUUAACCCUAGAUAGGCAGAAUAAACUUUUAAGCUAGAGUUUGGUAGAGGCAGAGUGAAUUCCCGGUGGAGCGGUGAAAUGCGUAGAUAUCGGGAGGAACACCAAAGGCGAAGGCACUCUGCUGGGCCAAUACUAACACUGAGAGACGAAAGCGAGGGGAGCAAAUGGGAUUAGAAACCCUAGUAGUCC